rnacentral:rRNA from 1 species
CUACGGGAUGCUCCAGUGGGGAAUAUUGGGCAAUGGGCGCAAGCCUGACCCAGCAACGCCGCGUGAGGGAAGAAGGUUUUCGGAUUGUAAACCUCUGUCCUUGGGGACGAAGAAGUGACGGUACCCAAGGAGGAAGCUCCGGCUAACUACGUGCCAGCAGCCGCGGUAAUACGUAGGGAACAAGCGUUGUCCGGAAUUACUGGGCGUAAAGGGUGCGUAGGCGGCAUAUUAAGUCAGGUGUGAAAUACUCGGGCUCAACCCGGGGGCUGCAUUUGAAACUGAUAUGCUUGAGUGUGAGAGAGGAAAGUGGAAUUCCUAGUGUAGCGGUGGAAUGCGUAGAUAUUAGGAGGAACACCAGUGGCGAAGGCGACUUUCUGGCUCAUAACUGACGCUGAGGCACGAAAGCGUGGGGAGCAAACAGGAUUAGAUACCCCCGUAGUC